UCACACAUAAGGUCAGUAUGGCUAUACACACAAAGUCACACAUAAGGUCAGUAUAGCUAUACACACAGUCACACAUAAGGUCAGUAUGGCUAUACACACAAGGUCACACAUGAGGUCUGUAUUCAUGGCGACACACACAAGGUCAGUAUGGCGACACACAC